UUGGGGAUUUGGCUCAGUGGUAGAGCGCUCGCCUAGGAAGCGAAAGGCCCUGGGUUCGGUCCCCAGCUCCAAA
rnacentral:tRNA from 1 species